CAGGGUGUAGCCCAAGAGAGUCAAAGCGUCCGGCCUGAAACCGGGACGUUGCGGGUUCAAAUCCCGUCGCCCUGACCA
rnacentral:tRNA from 1 species